ACAGCAGCCGCCGCGGUAAUGCGAAGGGGGCUAGCGUUGUUCGGAUUUACUGGGCGUAAAGCGCACGUAGGCGGACUUUUAAGUCGGGGUGAAAUCCCGGGGCUCAACCCCGGAACUGCCUUUGAUACUGGAAGUCUUGAGUAUGGUAGAGGUGAGUGGAAUUCCGAGUGUAGAGGUGAAAUUCGUAGAUAUUCGGAGGAACACCAGUGGCGAAGGCGGCUCACUGGACCAUUACUGACGCUGAGGUGCGAAAGCGUGGGGAGCAAACAGGAUUAGAUACCCCAGUAGUCCCUGUCUCUUAUACA
rnacentral:rRNA from 1 species